rnacentral:rRNA from 1 species
UACGUAGGGGGCAAGCGUUGUCCGGAUUUACUGGGCGUAAAGGGCUCGUAGGCGGCCCACUAAGUCAGAUGUGAAAUCCCCAGGCUCAACCUGGGAACUGCAUCUGAUACUGGUUGGCUUGAGUGCAGGAGAGGAACGCGGAAUUCCAGGUGUAGCGGUGAAAUGCGUAGAUAUCGGAAGGAACAUCAGUGGCGAAAGCGACUUCCUGGACCAAUACUGACGCUCAUGUGCGAAAGCGUGGGGAGCAAACAGG